rnacentral:rRNA from 1 species
UACGUAGGGUCCGAGCGUUGUCCGGAAUUAUUGGGCGUAAAGAGCUCGUAGGCGGUUUUGUCGCGUCUGCUGUGAAAUCCCGAGGCUCAACCUCGGGCCUGCAGUGGGUACGGGCAGACUGGAGUGCGGUAGGGGGAGAAUGGAAUUCCUGGUGUAGCGGUGGAAUGCGCAGAUAUCAGGAGGAACACCGAUGGCGAAGGCAGUUCUCUGGGCCGUAACUGACGCUGAGGAGCGAAAGCGUGGGGAGCGAACAGG